rnacentral:rRNA from 1 species
ACCCCAACAGUCGCCCGCAGCAGCGCUUGUCUCUGCGACAGACGCAUGGCUCUGUAGUCAGUGAUCGUUUACUUGAUAGAUACCUUAGUACAUGGAUACCUGUGGUAAUUCUAGAGCUAAUACAUGCUGAAAACCUCGACUUCGGAAGGGGUGUAUUUAUUAGAUAAAAAACCAAUGCCCUUCGGGGCUCCUUGGUGAAUCAUAAUAACUUAACGAAUCGCAUGGCCUUGCGCCGGCGAUGGUUCAUUCAAAUUUCUGCCCUAUCAACUUUCGAUGGUAGGAUAGUGGCCUACCAUGGUGGCAACGGGUAACGGGGAAUUAGGGUUCGAUUCCGGAGAGGGAGCCUGAGAAACGGCUACCACAUCCAAGGAAGGCAGCAGGCGCGCAAAUUACCCAAUCCCGACACGGGGAGGUAGUGACAAUAAAUACUGAUACGGGGCUCUUUUGGGUCUCGUAAUUGGAAUGAGUACAAUCUAAAUCCCUUAACGAGGAACAAUUGGAGGGCAAGUCUGGUGCCCGCAGCCAGUGUAUUUUAAUUAUGAUUCACUCGUUGCCACAAGCGCCGUAGAUACAGAGUAUGAUGUCUAAUUUAACAAAUUCUAAUUUCGUUUUGACAGCUGCACCAGGAACCUUAAAAUCCGACCUAUCCAACCUUAUUUAACGCAAACGAUUUAAGGAUCUAUGCUCAUCCUUUCGCCACUUUACGUUCCUUUAGGUAGCCCACAUAUAAUUCGAACACUAACGCGAAACCAAGAGACCGAAAACAA